rnacentral:snRNA from 1 species
AUCGCUUCUCGGCCUUUUGGCUAAGAUCAGGUGUAGUAUCUGUUCUUAUCAGUUUAAGGAGCUCACGUUCCUGUGAGGGAGACAGAUGCUAUAUAUGUUCUAGCAUGUUCAGUAGUAAUAAAU